AUUAAUACCGCAUAAGAUUGUAGCUUCGCAUGAAGUAGCAAUUAAAGGAGCAAUCCGCUAUAAGAUGGGCCCGCGGCGCAUUAGCUAGUUGGUGAGGUAACGGCUCACCAAGGCGACGAUGCGUAGCCGACCUGAGAGGGUGAUCGGCCACAUUGGGACUGAGACACGGCCCAGACUCCUACGGGAGGCAGCAGUGGGGAAUAUUGCACAAUGGGGGAAACCCUGAUGCAGCAACGCCGCGUGAGUGAUGACGGCCUUCGGGUUGUAAAGCUCUGUCUUUGGGGACGAUAAUGACGGUACCCAAGGAGGAAGCCACGGCUAACUACGUGCCAGCAGCCGCGGUAAUACGUAGGUGGCAAGCGUUGUCCGGAUUUACUGGGCGUAAAGGGAGCGUAGGCGGAUUUUUAAGUGGGAUGUGAAAUACCCGGGCUCAACCUGGGUGCUGCAUUCCAAACUGGAAAUCUAGAGUGCAGGAGGGGAAAGUGGAAUUCCUAGUGUAGCGGUGAAAUGCG
rnacentral:rRNA from 1 species